rnacentral:miRNA from 1 species
CAGUGUAAUAGUUGAGUGACC